rnacentral:rRNA from 1 species
CGACUCUCGGCAACGGAUAUCUCGGCUCUCGCAUCGAUGAAGAACGUAGCGAAAUGCGAUACUUGGUGUGAAUUGCAGAAUCCCGUGAACCAUCGAGUCUUUGAACGCAAGUUGCGCCCUAAGCCGUUUGGCCGAGGGCACGUCUGCCUGGGCGUCAAUC